UACAGAGGUCCCAAGCGUUGUUCGGAUUCAUUGGGCGUAAAGGGUGCGUAGGCGGUGGGGGUAAGUUGGAUGUGAAAUCUUGGGGCUUAACCUCAAAAUUGCAUUCAAUACUGCUCCGCUCGAGUUCUGGAGAGGAGACUGGAAUUUACGGUGUAGCGGUGAAAUGCGUAGAUAUCGUAAGGAAGACCAGUGGCGAAGGCGGGUCUCUGGACAGUUCCUGACGCUGAGGCACGAAGGUCAGGGGAGCAAACGGG
rnacentral:rRNA from 1 species